rnacentral:misc_RNA from 1 species
UUUUAGCUAAUGGCGGCCUUCCUCGCAUUUGAGCUUGGUUGGUGGCUGUUAGCUGGGUGGUUUCGGGGAUGUCUACCGUAAAGGUGCAUGAGUGGUGUUUGGUUUGUUACGGGUGGUUGGCUCUUUGCUUGCGCAACAACUUCCACCUGGCAUACCUCUUCAGUUUUGUGUCAAUGUUUGUAUCGCAUUGAAUGCACGGUGGGUUUCUUGUGUUGCAUGCCUAAUUGAUGGUAUCGUUUGACGAAUCGAUGUCUAUUUUCGUCUUGUGUUGCACAUGUGAUGCGAGAUGAACCUUAAAGUAGCCUUUGUGAUCCACUCUUUUGAUGCACACGCAUCGAUUUUGUGGCUCAUUGAGUGUUUGCUUGGUCUCAUGGAUAUGGAACCUUGUGUGGGCAUGUGAUCUUUUAGUAGCUCCUUGUUUGCCCUAGUUAAGCUUUUCAAAUACGAUUUCCUAUCAUGUUCUAACGUGGUAGGCUUAUAUCGAAUAUGAAUG